ACUCAAAUGAAUAGACGGGGACCCGCACAAGCGGUGGAGCGUGUUGUUUAAUUCGAUGGUAAGCGAAGAACCUUACCAAGGUUUGACUUCUCUGGAAGGACUUCGAAAGGAGUCUGUGCCUUCGGGAACCAGAUGACAGGUGAUGCAUGGCCGUCGUCAGCUCGUGUCGUGAGAUGUUUGGUUAAGUCCAUCAACGAGCGCAACCCUUAUAGUUAGUUGAAUUUUUCUAGCUAGACUGCCCCGGUAACGGGGAGGAAGGAGGGGACGAUGUCAGGUCAUUAUUUCCCUUACACCUUGGGCUACAAACACGCUACAAUGGCCGGUACAAAGGGCAGCUAAGUCGCGAGACGGAGCAAAUCCCAUCAAAGCCGGUCUCAGUUCGGAUUGCAGGCUGAAACUCGCCUGCAUGAAGCUGGAAUCGCUAGUAACGGUAGGUCAGCACACUACCGUGAAUACGUUCCCGGGUCUUGUACACACCGCCCGU
rnacentral:rRNA from 1 species